GAUGAACGCUGGCUACAGGCUUAACACAUGCAAGUCGAGGGGAAACGACGGGGAAGCUUGCUUCCCCGGGCGUCGACCGGCGCACGGGUGAGUAACGCGUAUCCAACCUGCCUCUGACUGAGGGAUAACCCGUCGAAAGUCGGCCUAAUACCUCAUGGCAUCGUCUGCGGGCAUCCAACGACGAUUAAAGAUUUCAUCGGUCAGAGAUGGGGAUGCGUCUGAUUAGCUUGUUGGCGGGGUAACGGCCCACCAAGGCGACGAUCAGUAGGGGUUCUGAGAGGAAGGUCCCCCACAUUGGAACUGAGACACGAUCCAAACUCCUACGGGAGGCAGCAGUGAGGAAUAUUGGUCAAUGGGCGAGAGCCUGAACCAGCCAAGUAGCGUGCAGGAUGACGGCCCUAUGGGUUGUAAACUGCUUUUAUGCGGGGAUAAAGUGAGGGACGUGUCCUUCAUUGCAGGUACCGCAUGAAUAAGGACCGGCUAAUUCCGUG
rnacentral:rRNA from 1 species